rnacentral:rRNA from 1 species
CGGUAAUUCCAGCUCCAAUAGCGUAUAUUAAAAUUGUUGCGGUUAAAACGCUCGUAGUUGGAUAUUUGUUGAGAACUGCCGGUCUACCCCAGUGGUCAGCACACGGUUUGUUCUCGGCACUUUCCUGGGGAGAGUGUUUGCACUUCACUGUGUGGCACAUGAUCCAGAACUUUUACUUUGAGGAAAUGAGAGUGUUUCAAGCAGGCGCCUGUCGUGAAUACGUUAGCAUGGAAUAAUAGCAUGGGACCGCGGUCUGAAGCUGUUGGUUUUCGGGCCGUGGUAAUGAAAAUAGGGAUAGUUGGGGGUAUUCGUAUUUAACUGUCAGAGGUGAAAUUCUUGGAUUUUUUAAAGACGGACUACUGCGAAAGCAUCUGCCCAGGAUGUUUUUAUUGAUCAAGAACGAAAGUUAGGGGAUCGAGGACGAUCAGAUACCGUCCUAGUCUUAACCUUAAACCAUGCCGACUAGAGAUUUGGGUCGUCAGAAUCGUGACGCCCUGAGCACCUUAGGGGAAACCAAAGUCUUCGGGUUCCGGGGGGAGUAUGGUCGCAAGGCUGAAACUUAAAGGAAUUGACGGAAGGGCACCACCAGGAGUGGAGCCUGCGGCUUAAUUUGACUCAACACGGGGAAACUUACCAGGUCCGGACAUAGAGAGGAUGACAGACUGAUAGCUCUUUCUUGAUUCUAUGGGUGGUGGUGCAUGACCAUUCUUAGUUGGUGGAGUGAUUUGUCUGGUUAAUUCCGUUAACGAACGAGACCUUAACCUGCUAAAUAGUUUCCAGAACCAUAUAGUUUCAGGAUGAUUUCUUAGAGGGACUUUGUGUGUGUAACGUGAGGAAGUGUGAGGCAAUAACAGGUCUGUGAUGCCCUUAGAUGUUUUGGACCGCACGCGCGCUACACUGAUACGUUCAACGAACUCCUAACCUACUCCGGAAGGAUUGGGCAUCCUUGUGAAAGCGCAUCGUGAUGGGGAUAGAUUAUUGCAAUUAUUAAUCUUGAACGAGGAAUUCCUAGUAAGCGUAAUUCAUCAGAUUGCGCAGAUUACGUCCCUGCCCUUUGUACACACCGACCGUCGCUCCUACCGAUAGAGUGUGUGCCGGGGAAUAUAUUCGGAUUGAGUCUUAUUUCAGACUUGGGAUUUGACGCGAGAAGUCUAGUAAACCUUACCACUUAGAGGAAGGAGAAGUCGUAACAAGGUAACC